AUACUUACCUGGACGGGGUCAAUGGGCGAUCAAGAAGGCUCAUGGCCUAGAUCAAUGCCUCACAUUGCACUUUGUGGGUGGGUUGGUUUACCAUCUCCCCAAGCGGGAGAGUGGACGUCAUAAUUUGUGGCAGAGGGGUUACGCGUCCGCGCGGCCCCUAC
rnacentral:snRNA from 1 species